rnacentral:rRNA from 1 species
UACGUAGGGGGCUAGCGUUGUCCGGAAUCAUUGGGCGUAAAGAGCGUGUAGGCGGCCCGGUAAGUCCGCUGUGAAAGUCGGGGGCUCAACCCUCGAAUGCCGGUGGAUACUGUCGGGCUAGAGUGCGGAAGAGGCGAGUGGAAUUCCUGGUGUAGCGGUGAAAUGCGCAGAUAUCAGGAGGAACACCGAUUGCGAAGGCAGCUCGCUGGGACGUAACUGACGCUGAGACGCGAAAGCGUGGGGAGC